UACAGAGGGGGCAAGCGUUGUUCGGAAUUACUGGGCGUAAAGCGCGUGUAGGCGGCUUUGCAAGUCGGGUGUGAAAGCCCUCAGCUCAACUGAGGAAGUGCGCCCGAAACUGCAUAGCUUGAGUACCGGAGAGGAUGGUGGAAUUCCCGAAGUAGAGGUGAAAUUCGUAGAUAUCGGGAGGAACACCGGUGGCGAAGGCGACCAUCUGGACGGAUACUGACGCUGAGACGCGAAAGCGUGGGUAGCAAACAGG
rnacentral:rRNA from 1 species